rnacentral:rRNA from 1 species
UCCUACGGGGGGCAGCAGUGGGGAAUAUUGCACAAUGGGGGAAACCCUGAUGCAGCGACGCCGCGUGAGCGAAGAAGUAUCUCGGUAUGUAAAGCUCUAUCAGCAGGGAAGAAAAUGACGGUACCUGACUAAGAAGCCCCGGCUAACUACGUGCCAGCAGCCGCGGUACUACGUAGGGGGCAAGAGUUAUCCGGAUUUACUGGGUGUAAAGGGAGCGAAGGCGGCGCGGUAAGUCUGAUGUGAAAGCCCGAGGCUCAACCCCGGGACUGCAUAGGAAAC